rnacentral:rRNA from 1 species
UCGUCACACUAUCGUUAACUGAAUACAUAGGUUAACGAGGCGAACCGGGGGAACUGAAACAUCUAAGUACCCCGAGGAAAAGAAAUCAACCGAGAUUCCCCCAGUAGCGGCGAGCGAACGGGGAGCAGCCCAGAGUCUGAAUCAGCUUGUGUGUUAGUGGAACGGUCUGGAAAGUCCGACGGUACAGGGUGAUAGUCCCGUACACCAAAAUGCACAGGCUGUGAACUCGAAGAGUAGGGCGGGACACGUGGUAUCCUGUCUGAAUAUGGGGGGACCAUCCUCCAAGGCUAAAUACUCCUGACUGACCGAUAGUGAACCAGUACCGUGAGGGAAAGGCGAAAAGAACCCCGGCGAGGGGAGUGAAAAAGAACCUGAAACCGUGUACGUACAAGCAGUGGGAGCACCUUCGGGUGUGACUGCGUACCUUUUGUAUAAUGGGUCAGCGACUUAUAUUCUGUAGCAAGGUUAACCGUAUAGGGGAGCCGCAGGGAAACCGAGUCUUAACUGGGCGUUAAGUUGCAGGGUAUAGACCCGAAACCCGGUGAUCUAGCCAUGGGCAGGUUGAAGGUUGGGUAACACUAACUGGAGGACCGAACCGACUAAUGUUGAAAAAUUAGCGGAUGACUUGUGGCUGGGGGUGAAAGGCCAAUCAAACCGGGAGAUAGCUGGUUCUCCCCGAAAGCUAUUUAGGUAGCGCCUCGUGAACUCAUCUUCGGGGGUAGAGCACUGUUUCGGCUAGGGGGUCAUCCCGACUUACCAACCCGAUGCAAACUACGAAUACCGAAGAAUGUUAUCACGGGAGACACACGGCGGGUGCUAACGUCCGUCGUGAAGAGGGAAACAACCCAGACCGCCAGCUAAGGUCCCAAAGUCAUGGUUAAGUGGGAAACGAUGUGGGAAGGCACAGACAGCCAGGAUGUUGGCUUAGAAGCAGCCAUCAUUUAAAGAAAGCGUAAUAGCUCACUGGUCGAGUCGGCCUGCGCGGAAGAUGUAACGGGGCUAAACCAUGCACCGAAGCUGCGGCAGCGACACUAUGUGUUGUUGGGUAGGGGAGCGUUCUGUAAGCCUGCGAAGGUGUGCUGUGAGGCAUGCUGGAGGUAUCAGAAGUGCGAAUGCUGACAUAAGUAACGAUAAAGCGGGUGAAAAGCCCGCUCGCCGGAAGACCAAGGGUUCCUGUCCAACGUUAAUCGGGGCAGGGUGAGUCGACCCCUAAGGCGAGGCCGAAAGGCGUAGUCGAUGGGAAACAGGUUAAUAUUCCUGUACUUGGUGUUACUGCGAAGGGGGGACGGAGAAGGCUAUGUUAGCCGGGCGACGGUUGUCCCGGUUUAAGCAUGUAGGCUGAUUAUCCAGGCAAAUCCGGAUAAUCAAGGCUGAGGUGUGAUGACGAGGCACUACGGUGCUGAAGUAACAAAUGCCCUGCUUCCAGGAAAAGCCUCUAAGCAUCAGGUAACAUUAAAUCGUACCCCAAACCGACACAGGUGGUCAGGUAGAGAAUACCAAGGCGCUUGAGAGAACUCGGGUGAAGGAACUAGGCAAAAUGGUGCCGUAACUUCGGGAGAAGGCACGCUGGUGUGUAGGUGAAGUCCCUGCGGAUGGAGCUGAGACCAGUCGAAGAUACCAGCUGGCUGCAACUGUUUAUUAAAAACACAGCACUGUGCAAACACGAAAGUGGACGUAUACGGUGUGACGCCUGCCCGGUGCCGGAAGGUUAAUUGAUGGGGUUAUCCGUAAGGAGAAGCUCUUGAUCGAAGCCCCGGUAAACGGCGGCCGUAACUAUAACGGUCCUAAGGUAGCGAAAUUCCUUGUCGGGUAAGUUCCGACCUGCACGAAUGGCGUAAUGAUGGCCAGGCUGUCUCCACCCGAGACUCAGUGAAAUUGAACUCGCUGUGAAGAUGCAGUGUACCCGCGGCAAGACGGAAAGACCCCGUGAACCUUUACUAUAGCUUGACACUGAACAUUGAGCCUUGAUGUGUAGGAUAGGUGGGAGGCUUUGAAGCGUGGACGCCAGUCUGCGUGGAGCCAACCUUGAAAUACCACCCUUUAAUGUUUGAUGUUCUAACGUUGGCCCCUGACCGGGGUUGCGGACAGUGUCUGGUGGGUAGUUUGACUGGGGCGGUCUCCUCCCAAAGCGUAACGGAGGAGCACGAAGGUUAGCUAAUCCUGGUCGGACAUCAGGAGGUUAGUGCAAUGGCAUAAGCUAGCUUGACUGCGAGCGUGACGGCGCGAGCAGGUGCGAAAGCAGGUCAUAGUGAUCCGGUGGUUCUGAAUGGAAGGGCCAUCGCUCAACGGAUAAAAGGUACUCCGGGGAUAACAGGCUGAUACCGCCCAAGAGUUCAUAUCGACGGCGGUGUUUGGCACCUCGAUGUCGGCUCAUCACAUCCUGGGGCUGAAGUAGGUCCCAAGGGUAUGGCUGUUCGCCAUUUAAAGUGGUACGCGAGCUGGGUUUAGAACGUCGUGAGACAGUUCGGUCCCUAUCUGCCGUGGGCGCUGGAGAAUUGAGGGGGGCUGCUCCUAGUACGAGAGGACCGGAGUGGACGCAUCACUGGUGUUCGGGUUGUCAUGCCAAUGGCACUGCCCGGUAGCUAAAUGCGGAAGAGAUAAGUGCUGAAAGCAUCUAAGCACGAAACUUGCCCCGAGAUGAGUUCUCCCUGAGACUUUAAGUCUCCUGAAGGAACGUUAAAGACGAUGACGUUGAUAGGCCGGGUGUGUAAGCGCAGCGAUGCGUUGAGCUAACCGGUACUAAUGAACCGUGAGGCUUAACCUU